GAUCCCUGCCCCCAGCCCAGGCAGCCGGGCAUGAGCUACUUGUCCUUAGGGGAGGCCUGCUACUGGGAGCCCGAGAAGGCAGGCACAGAAUCCUGGCAUUUGAGUUUCAAAACCACAAUAAGGAAGAAGACAGAAAUUGUUGGACAAGUCCUUGAUCGCUACUGCAGACUACAGAAAGACUCCAUGGGCUGAGGCUGGGAGGUGGGCACAGAGCUGCUGUCAUUGGAGUGAGCACUGUUGUCACCAGCAUCAGGAAAUAUAACAGCUGAGGAGAAUGCCCACCUAGAUCAGAUUUUAAAGGCCUAAGGACACCAAAAAGCCAUCACAAGAAGACUGAAGUCCAGAUCCUCAGGAAAGUCAUUAAGAUGAAGCCAACAAAGGUCACAUUUGGGCAGGAAAAUAAAAGAGUCACCCCGGCAGAGGGCCACCUGGCAUCGCUGGGGAGAAGUGACUGUCCCUGAAAUCACUCUGUAUUGUGUCAAGUGCUCAAACAAGGACUUUUCUUUUGCAUCACAGACCUGGAAAAGACUCAGUGGGCAGGAUUAUCCAAACAUCCGCCUCUGUCCCAUAUGGCCUGGAUAAUGGCUCCUGUCUGAUAUUUCUUUUCAGCAGGUCUGUGGCAGCGAGAGGGGCCCACCAGGCUUCAAUGGCAACAACAUGCCCAUGGGGUAACUAAUGGGUUGAAAGGAUUGCACAGCACUAUCUAGACAACAAAAUGCAUCUGCCCAAAAUAGCAUUUUGAUUUACCACUCUGCAAAGUGGCACACAGAAAAGUGAAAAAAGGAAGCGAUGUAUGAGGCUGCAAAGAGUUUCUGACAAACAAAUGCCUUUGGGAAGGCCAAGCAGAGUAUUUCAAUCAAGAAGUUAUUGGGAGCAAAUAGACAUCCUUAAUGACUAUUACAUAAAUUGCCCAGGGUCACGUGUACCAGGGUGAUGGUGUUCACCACUAGUCUUUUUGUUCUUGAUGUUUCUUUGGUUUUUUGUUUCCAGAGUUUGGGACCUGUUUAUCCCAUAGCAUUUGCCCCAAAUAAAUGACAGCCAUUUGGGAGUUGUGGGUCCCCUAUGUUUGUCACUACCCCCAAUGCAUUUUCUGACAAGGGUAGUGUCCUAAAAUGAAAGCUGAGAUACUUUCAUAUAGCUUAAUGGUUUCAACAAUAAAACCAUGUUAAGUUUAUGAUUAAAAAGAUAAAAUUUUAAUAAGGAAGAAAACAAGGAAGGAUAGUGGUAGGUUUGGACAACAGCAAGGAGUGAUAAUUUGCUUUCAGAUAGUCAUGGUAUCAACAGGCUCCACCCUUCACCAGGGAAUGUGAACAAAUCCAUUCGUUAAUUUGGCCAUGGAGGGACUCAUUGGAGAUUUCGGGGCAGUGACCAUGUCAGAGAAUUUAUGCUAUGUUGUAGCUAACAAAAUAGAUGUGUUGUAGCAUUCAGAGCUUUUGAAGCCCAAAUCUUGCCAAAUAGUGUCUCUUACUUCAGUGAUACUUAAAGCAUUAUAGAGAUUGAGAAAAUGUUGAGAUCACACUGUCAUGACUGCAUACACCACCAUUCAGACAGGAAGCGCUGACCACCAGUAGGAUUCACCUAGGGGAGAUGUUACCAUUUCAACUGUCUCAACCUUCUAAUUGGAGGUCUUCAUGAAAGGUUCACUGUGGGGUGAUGUAGGCUCAUGACUCUGUCACAUGACCCUAACUUAAUUUGCCUUUUAUACCUGCUCAAAGGAACGAUUAUUGUCAGAGAAACUGUGUGUAUCACUUCGCGUCCCAGAAAUUCAAGCAGCAGCUCCUAAUAUUUUGAUCCAGAAAGAAUAC
rnacentral:lncRNA from 10 species